rnacentral:rRNA from 1 species
GGAGGAAAAGAAACCAACAGGGAUUGCCUCAGUAACGGCGAGUGAAGCGGCAACAGCUCAAAUUUGAAAUCUGGAGCCUUCGGCUUCCGAGUUGUAAUUUGAAGAGGAUGUUUCGGUGCGACCUGGGCCUAAGUUCCUUGGAACAGGACGUCAUGGAGGGUGAGAAUCCCGUACAUGGCUGCAGGUUUGCUUCUAUGUGAAACUCCUUCGAAGAGUCGAGUUGUUUGGGAAUGCAGCUCAAAAUGGGUGGUAAAUUUCAUCUAAAGCUAAAUAUUGGCGGGAGACCGAUAGCGCACAAGUAGAGUGAUCGAAAGAUGAAAAGCACUUUGAAAAGAGAGUUAAACAGUACGUGAAAUUGUUGAAAGGGAAGCGCUUGCAAUCAGACUCGCCUUCAGUUGAUCAGCCUUCCUUCUGGUUGGUGCACUCUGCUGUUGGCGGGCCAGCAUCAGUUGGGGCGGUGGGAUAAAGGCGGCAGGAAUGUGGCUCGCUUCGGUGAGUGUUAUAGCCUGCUGUGUCAUGCCACCAGUCCCGACUGAGGUCCGCGGUUCGCCUAGGAUGCUGGCUUAAUGGUUGUAAGCGACCCGUCUUGAAACACGGACCAAGGAGUCUAACAUCUAUGCGAGUCUUUGGGUGUAAAACCCAUGGGCGAAAUGAAAGUGAACGGAGGUGGGAGUCUUCGGAUGCACCAUCGACCGAUCCUGAUGUUCUCGGAUGGAUUUGAGUAUGAGCAUAGCUGUUGGGACCCGAAAGAUGGUGAACUAUGCCUGAAUAGGGUGAAGCCAGAGGAAACUCUGGUGGAGGCUCGCAGCGGUUCUGACGUGCAAAUCGAUCGUCAAAUUUGGGUAUAGGGGCGAAAGACUAAUCGAACCAUCUAGUAGCUGGUUCCUGCCGAAG